UGGGGAAUAUUGCACAAUGGGCGCAAGCCUGAUGCAGCCAUGCCGCGUGUGUGAAGAAGGCCUUCGGUUUGUAAAGCACUUUCAGCGGGGCGGAAGGCGGUGAGGUUAAUAACCUCACCGAUUGACGUUACCCGCAGAAGAAGCACCGGCUAACUCCGUGCCAGCAGCCGCGGUAAUACGGAGGGUGGAAGCGUUAACCGGAAUUACUGGGAGUAAAGCGCACGCAGGCGGUCUGUCAAGUCGGAUGUGAAAUCCCCGGGCUCAACCUGGGAACUGCAUUCGAAACUGGCAGGCUAGAGUCUUGUAGAGGGGGGUAGAAUUCCAGGUGUAGCGGUGAAAUGCGUAGAGAUCUGGAGGAAUACCGGUGGCGGAGGCGGCCCCCUGGAAAAAGACUGACGCUCAGGUGCGAAAGCGUGGGGAGCAAACAGG
rnacentral:rRNA from 1 species